rnacentral:rRNA from 1 species
AUUGAACGCUGGCGGCAGGCUUAACACAUGCAAGUCGAGCGGGGGAGGUUACUUCGGUAAUUGACCUAGCGGCGGACGGGUGAGUAAUACUUAGGAAUCUGCCUAUUAAUGGGGGACAACAUCUCGAAAGGGAUGCUAAUACCGCAUACGCCCUACGGGGGAAAGCAGGGGAUCACUUGUGACCUUGCGUUAAUAGAUGAGCCUAAGUCGGAUUAGCUAGUUGGUGGGGUAAAGGCCUACCAAGGCGACGAUCCGUAGCGGGUCUGAGAGGAUGAUCGGCCACACUGGGACUGAGACACGGCCCGGACUCCUACGGGAGGCAGCAGUGGGGAAUAUUGGACAAUGGGGGGAACCCUGAUCUAGCCAUGCCGCGUGUGUGAAGAAGGCCUUAUGGUUGUAAAGCACUUUAAGCGAGGAGGAGGCUCUUUUGGUUAGUACCCAAGAUGAGUGGACGUUACUCGCAGAAUAAGCACCGGCUAACUCUGUGCCAGCCGCCGCGGUAA